GGCCAUCUGGGCGCGCUCCUCCGCGCCUCUAGCCUUUCCACCGCGCUCCAGGCCCAUCCCCGCACCAGCCUCUCUGGGAUCCGACGGCGACGCGGGUGUAGGCAGGUGAGUCGGCCGAGCCCCGCCCGGGCAGACGCGGAGGCAGGAAGCGCUCGCGCCAAUCCCUCUCCUGAACCCUGCCCUCACCCCCCACUCACCGGCGCCAGGAGUACGCAGGACGCGUGAGCCCCUUCGCGCCCCCAGCGCCGUCGGCGUCGCUGCCCCAGACAAACACUGCCCCGAGAGGCCUCACAGAGGCGGAGGCUGGGGGCGGCGACCCGGAGCCGCCUCAGCCCUUGCCUUGGGCGCCGUCACCUCAGUCCCCAGAAGCCCUGGGUUCCUGCAGUCUACGAAAAUGCGGAGGACAGCGUGGUUCCGAGAGAGGGCGCCAAAGGCGACGUACGGGCGGCCAGCUCCAGGCCGAGCCCAGAGCGCCUGCAGGAACCUGCCCCUUCACCCGGCGCGGGACGCAGAGCUGUGCCAGAAUCUUGUUCAGCGCGGACUCAACGCCAGGGCGCCGCCUAGAGGUCGGUCUCUGUCUCGGCCUCACCCGCCGGGAGACCACAGAGCUGCUUCCCCAGCCGCCCGCCGCCAGAAAUUGAAAAAAAAAAAAAAAAAAAAAAAAAAAUCCAGCUGGGGUCUAGGAACUCGGCUUCUGGAACCUCUGACUCCUCCGAGACUGCCUCCUCCCUCCCCGACACAUAAGGAACCCCUUUAAGGGAGACGGGCUAGGAAGUCCCAGAAAUAUUUAUUCUUGUGACUCUUCACAAAAUGGAAGAGGGUCUCAAUUCUGGUUUCUUUAAGGAUCUUGUGUUUUGCGUCUGUGUCUACGCUGCCUCCUCUUAGCAUCCAAAUUGUCCAGCUCCGCGCCCCACUCCAAUUGCACUAGAACUCUGUUUUAUCUUCAAUGAAGAAAGAGAGCAGGGAGAAGCUGCCUCUAAACCCUCCAGCUUAGCCAUCAAUUUUCGGAAUAAUUUGGAGAUCAACAUGCUUUUGGAAAAGUGUUUGGAAAACGUUUGGGAGUGAAAAGAAACGUUGCCUAAAUGGCCUUUACUCACUGAGUGACCAUCAUCUCAGCUAGUGUAUGAGCAGCACCAGCACCCCAUCCAUGGGUGCCUGUGCUGAGCCUGUGAAAGUUGACUUCUUUGGCGUGCCCUCGGAAGGACACAGCUGGUAUCUAUGGGAACGGCUUUGGGGUGUCCUUUGGCACCAUGCGGAGAGUUUUAUUUUUUUUUAACUGGAAUCCGUGGCCUGGGUUCUUCAGAUGGGGUAAGGGAAAGCCACAAAGCCCCUGAAAUGUAUGCAAAACAUAUGGGUGUGCAGGUGCACCAUCCUAAGGCUAUGGCCUCCUCAGUUUUCCCAAAGACUCUAAGACUAUAAAAGG